AACCGCCGUAUACGGAACCGUAUGUACGGUGGUGUGAGAGGACGGCGGAUGUAAAUCCGCCUCCUACUCGAU
rfam:Pseudomonas sp. TW4, complete genome.